rnacentral:rRNA from 1 species
GAUAAACGCUAGCGGCAGGCUUAACACAUGCAAGUCGAGGGGCAGCAUAGAUUGUAGCAAUACAAUUGGUGGCGACCGGCGCACGGGUGCGUAACGCGUAUGCAACCUACCCGUCACAGGGGGAUAAUCCGGAGAAAUCUGGUCUAAUACCCCAUAACAUAUGGAUCGGCAUCGGUUCAUGUUGAAAUUUUCGGAGGUGACGGAUGGGCAUGCGUAGCAUUAGCUUGUUGGUGAGGUAACGGCACACCAAGGCGACGAUGCUUAGGGGGGCUGAGAGGUGUUCCCCCCACACUGGUACUGGGACACGGACCAGACUCCUACGGGAGGCAGCAGUGAGGAAUAUUGGUCAAUGGGCGCAAGCCUGAACCAGCCAUGCCGCGUGCAGGAUGACGGCUCCAUGAGUUGUAAACUGCUUUUGUACGAGGGUAAAGUGGGUUACGUGUAACCUUUUGAAAGUAUCGUACGAAUAAGGAUCGGCUAACUCCGUGCCAGCCGCCGCGGUAA